GUGGAGAUGAUGAUCCUUUCCCCAGAUGAUCGACAAUGAACAUGCUGAGCGCUAUAAUUUCUCUUUAGGAGAAACCAAGCCAGGACUCUGAUCUGC
rfam:Triticum aestivum genome assembly, contig: Triticum_aestivum_CS42_TGACv1_scaffold_288809_4AL